rnacentral:rRNA from 1 species
GAAACCGAGUCUUAAUUGGGCGUUAAGUUGCAGGGUAUAGACCCGAAACCCGGUGAUCUAGCCAUGGGCAGGUUGAAGGUUGGGUAACACUAACUGGAGGACCGAACCGACUAAUGUUGAAAAAUUAGCGGAUGACCUGUGGCUGGGGGUGAAAGGCCAAUCAAACCGGGAGAUAGCUGGUUCUCCCCGAAAGCUAUUUAGGUAGCGCCUCGUGAAUUCAUCUCCGGGGGUAGAGCACUGUUUCGGCUAGGGGGCCAUCCCGGCUUACCAACCCGAUGCAAACUGCGAAUACCGGAGAAUGUUAUCACGGGAGACACACGGCGGGUGCUAACGUCCGUCGUGAAGAGGGAAACAACCCAGACCGCCAGCUAAGGUCCCAAAGUCAUGGUUAAGUGGGAAACGAUGUGGGAAGGCCCAGACAGCCAGGAUGUUGGCUUAGAAGCAGCCAUCAUUUAAAGAAAGCGUAAUAGCUCACUGGUCGAGUCGGCCUGCGCGGAAGAUGUAACGGGGCUAAACCAUGCACCGAAGCUGCGGCAGCGACACUGUGUGUUGUUGGGUAGGGGAGCGUUCUGUAAGCCUGUGAAGGUGUGUCGUGAGGCAUGCUGGAGGUAUCAGAAGUGCGAAUGCUGACAUAAGUAACGAUAAAGCGGGUGAAAAGCCCGCUCGCCGGAAGACCAAGGGUUCCUGUCCAACGUUAAUCGGGGCAGGGUGAGUCGACCCCUAAGGCGAGGCCGAAAGGCGUAGUCGAUGGGAAACGGGUUAAUAUUCCCGUACUUGGUGUUACUGCGAAGGGGGGACGGAGAAGGCUAUGUUGGCCGGGCGACGGUUGUCCCGGUUUAAGCGUGUAGGCUGGUUUUCCAGGCAAAUCCGGAAAAUCAAGGCUGAGGCGUGAUGACGAGGCACUACGGUGCUGAAGCAACAAAUGCCCUGCUUCCAGGAAAAGCCUCUAAGCAUCAGGUAACAUCAAAUCGUACCCCAAACCGACACAGGUGGUCAGGUAGAGAAUACCAAGGCGCUUGAGAGAACUCGGGUGAAGGAACUAGGCAAAAUGGUGCCGUAACUUCGGGAGAAGGCACGCUGACACGUAGGUGAAGUGAUUUACUCAUGGAGCUGAAGUCAGUCGAAGAUACCAGCUGGCUGCAACUGUUUAUUAAAAACACAGCACUGUGCAAACACGAAAGUGGACGUAUACGGUGUGACGCCUGCCCGGUGCCGGAAGGUUAAUUGAUGGGGUCAGCGCAAGCGAAGCUCCUGAUCGAAGCCCCGGUAAACGGCGGCCGUAACUAUAACGGUCCUAAGGUAGCGAAAUUCCUUGUCGGGUAAGUUCCGACCUGCACGAAUGGCGUAAUGAUGGCCAGGCUGUCUCCACCCGAGACUCAGUGAAAUUGAACUCGCUGUGAAGAUGCAGUGUACCCGCGGCAAGACGGAAAGACCCCGUGAACCUUUACUAUAGCUUGACACUGAACAUUGAGCCUUGAUGUGUAGGAUAGGUGGGAGGCUUUGAAGUGUGGACGCCAGUCUGCAUGGAGCCGACCUUGAAAUACCACCCUUUAAUGUUUGAUGUUCUAACGUGGACCCGUUACCCGGGUUGCGGACAGUGUCUGGUGGGUAGUUUGACUGGGGCGGUCUCCUCCUAAAGAGUAACGGAGGAGCACGAAGGUUGGCUAAUCCUGGUCGGACAUCAGGAGGUUAGUGCAAUGGCAUAAGCCAGCUUGACUGCGAGCGUGACGGCGCGAGCAGGUGCGAAAGCAGGUCAUAGUGAUCCGGUGGUUCUGAAUGGAAGGGCCAUCGCUCAACGGAUAAAAGGUACUCCGGGGAUAACAGGCUGAUACCGCCCAAGAGUUCAUAUCGACGGCGGUGUUUGGCACCUCGAUGUCGGCUCAUCACAUCCUGGGGCUGAAGUAGGUCCCAAGGGUAUGGCUGUUCGCCAUUUAAAGUGGUACGCGAGCUGGGUUUAGAACGUCGUGAGACAGUUCGGUCCCUAUCUGCCGUGGGCGCUGGAGAACUGAGGGGGGCUGCUCCUAGUACGAGAGGACCGGAGUGGACGCAUCACUGGUGUUCGGGUUGUCAUGCCAAUGGCACUGCCCGGUAGCUAAAUGCGGAAGAGAUAAGUGCUGAAAGCAUCUAAGCACGAAACUUGCCCCGA